GACGUAGGGCGCGAGCGUUGUCCGGAUUUAUUGGGCGUAAAGAGCUCGUAGGCGGCUUGUCGCGUCGACUGUGAAAACUCGGGGCUCAACUCCGAGCUUGCAGUCGAUACGGGCAGGCUAGAGUUCGGUAGGGGAGACUGGAAUUCCUGGUGUAGCGGUGAAAUGCGCAGAUAUCAGGAGGAACACCGAUGGCAAAGGCAGGUCUCUGGGCCGAUACUGACGCUGAGGAGCGAAAGCGUGGGGAGCGAACAGG
rnacentral:rRNA from 1 species